rnacentral:rRNA from 1 species
AUUGAACGCUGGCGGCAGGCCUAACACAUGCAAGUCGAGCGGCAGCGGGACCUUCGGGUUGCCGGCGAGCGGCGGACGGGUGAGUCAUGCCUAGGAAUCUGCCUGUUAGUGGGGGAUAACGCGGGGAAACUCGCGCUAAUACCGCAUACGUCCUACGGGAGAAAGCGGGGGCUCUGCGUACCUCGCGCUAACAGAUGAGCCUAGGUCGGAUUAGCUAGUUGGUGGGGUAAUGGCCCACCAAGGCGACGAUCCGUAACUGGUCUGAGAGGAUGAUCAGUCACACUGGAACUGAGACACGGUCCAGACUCCUACGGGAGGCAGCAGUGGGGAAUAUUGGACAAUGGGCGAAAGCCUGAUCCAGCCAUGCCGCGUGUGUGAAGAAGGUCUUCGGAUUGUAAAGCACUUUAAGUCGGGAGGAAGGACUGUAGGCUAAUACCUUGCAGUUUUGACGUUACCGACAGAAUAAGCACCGGCUAACUUCGUGCCAGCAGCCGCGGUAACAC